GAAUAACACUGUAAUGAACCUGAAAGAACAUGUGUCUUUUUGGCAGAAUGAUUAUGACUGGAUUUUGAACAUCUAACUUCAUUAAUGUAAUCUGUAAAUUAAAUUGUGCUUAUUGAUUUCACUAGUGAUGCCUAAUAAUGCCUGUUCUUUCUGGUCUGUAUUAUAAAACACCGAGGUUGCCUGGUUCAGUAAUGAUUCUAGACUCUGCUCUGGUCCCAAAGCCAGCUUCUGGAGCUUCCGCCUGAUGUCUGCUGCUGAGUGAGUAAGAAACUUUUACUUUAGUAUUA